rnacentral:tRNA from 2 species
GCGGCGGUAGUUCAGUUGGCUAGAACGCUUCCUUGCCAAGGAAGAGGUCGCCGGUUCGAAUCCGGUUCGCCGCUCCA